UCUGUGAAUAUUAAUGGAACAGUGAACGGCUCAGUAUAACACGUCUAUCUACCCACGCUAUAAAAUAACCAUGGGAAACUAUGGCUAAUAUUGUGGAUGAGGAUGUGACCUAUCAGCUUGACGGUACGGUAAGUGCGUACCGAGGCGAUAACGGGUAACGGGGAAUAUGGGUUUUAUUCCGGAGAGGGAGCCUGAGAGAUGGCUGCCACGUCCAAGGACGGCAGCAGGCGCGAAACUUACCCAAUGAACAUUGAGGUAGUUACGGGGCGUACUUCUUGUAUGAAGCGUGUGUAAAAAGCAUGCAGAAGUACUGGAGGGCA
rnacentral:rRNA from 1 species